UACGGAGGAUGCGAGCGUUAUCCGGAUUUAUUGGGUUUAAAGGGUGCGUAGGCGGGCUGUUAAGUCAGCGGUAAAAGCCCGGGGCUCAACCCCGGCGAGCCGUUGAAACUGGCUGUCUUGAGAUGUCGAGAGGUAUGCGGAAUGCACAGUGUAGCGGUGAAAUGCUUAGAUAUUGCGCAGAACUCCGAUUGCGAAGGCAGCAUACCGGCGGCGAUCUGACGCUGAGGCACGAAAGCGUGGGUAUCGAACAGG
rnacentral:rRNA from 1 species